rnacentral:rRNA from 1 species
UGGGGAAUUUUGGACAAUGGGCGCAAGCCUGAUCCAGCCAUGCCGCGUGAGUGACGAAGGCCUUAGGGUUGUAAAGCUCUUUUGGCGGGGAAGAUAAUGACGGUACCCGCAGAAUAAGCUCCGGCUAACUUCGUGCCAGCAGCCGCGGUAAUACGAAGGGAGCUAGCGUUGUUCGGAAUCACUGGGCGUAAAGCGCACGUAGGUGGGCAGUUAAGUCAGGGGUGAAAGCCCGAGGCUCAACCUCGGAAUUGCCUCUGAUACUGGCUGUCUAGAGUUCGAGAGAGGUGAGUGGAAUUCCUAGUGUAGAGGUGAAAUUCGUAGAUAUCAAGAGGAACACCUGAGGUGAAGACGGGUUGCUGGGCUGACACUGACGCUGAGGCGCGAAAGCCAGGGGAGCAAACGGGAUUAGAUACCCCGNGUAGUCCCUGAGCGGGCUGGCAAGGCGCAU